AUGCUUCGUAUACCCCCACAAUCCAAAUUUAUCUGACAGCAACACAAGUCUAAAGUUUUGUGAUUCUAUCGCGCAUGUGUCAGUUCUUUUGUUCGUAUCUCUGUGGGGAGGGCCAACGCGAACGAAGGAAGCGCUGGGCGAAAGGAUUUAUUCCCCCAACCAGCAAGCGCCGAAUUCAGUUAUAACACCAAUCCCUUCACCUAUCAUAUAAGCCUCAUCUCAGGUAUAUUGUUGUCCGAGCUGGUGACAGACGAAACUAUACAUCUGAGAUGGCUCUCCUUCCCUUGCUCUGAAAAAAAUACUCGACCACAAAAUGCCAUC
rnacentral:sRNA from 1 species